GCGCAGAUUCGGUUCAUCGCUGCUCGUGAGGGGUAACCCUCUUGAGGGGAGGAAAGUCCGAGCAACAUAGAGCACCACACAAGUUAACGGCUUGAUGUCCGUGAGGGUAUAGUAGCGUAACAGAGAAUAACCGCCCGAAAGGGUAAGGGUGAAAAGGCGGGGUAAGAGCCCACCGCGAGGGCAGCGAUGUCUCUCGGCAGUACGCCUUGUGGGUUGCAAGGUUAUGUAUAUCGGCAAUUAAGGGUUGCUCGCCCGAUGCCGAGGGGUAAACCGCUAGAGACGAUAGGAGACUAUCGCCGUAGAUAAAUGAUGAACUGGGGAGGAAACUCUUGACACAGAACUCGGCUUAUAGAAUCUGCAGUUAU
rnacentral:RNase_P_RNA from 1 species